UACGUAGGUGGCAAGCGUUAUCCGGAAUUACUGGGCGUAAAGGGUGCGUAGGUGGUUUCUUAAGUCAGAGGUGAAAGGCUACGGCUCAACCGUAGUAAGCCUUUGAAACUGGGAAACUUGAGUGCAGGAGAGGAGAGUGGAAUUCCUAGUGUAGCGGUGAAAUGCGUAGAUAUUAGGAGGAACACCAGUUGCGAAGGCGGCUCUCUGGACUGUAACUGACACUGAGGCACGAAAGCGUGGGGAGCAAACAGGAUUAGAUACCCGUGUAGUCCCUGA
rnacentral:rRNA from 1 species